GACAGAGGAUGCAAGCGUUAUCCGGAAUGAUUGGGCGUAAAGCGUCUGUAGGUGGCUUUUUAAGUCCGCCGUCAAUCCCAAGGGCUCAACCCUGGACAGGCGGUGGAAACUACCAAGCUGGAGUACGGUAGGGCAGAGGGAAUUCCGGUGGAGCGGUGAAAUGCGUAGAGAUCGGAAAGAACACCAACGGCGAAAGCACUCUGCUGGGCCGACACUGACACUGAGAGACGAAAGCUAGGGGAGCGAAUGGG
rnacentral:rRNA from 1 species